ensembl:lncRNA
UGGGGACAGCAGGUGGGAGCUUUCUAAGCCAGACAAAGGAGACCUGAGAAGGAACUGUGGUGAAGGGACAAGCCCAGGGCAAAGGACUGUCCGGCCACCUCCUCUCCUGGAGCAGGCAGCUGAGAUCUGCAUAGCCAGGAGACAUUUUGCAAGACUCAACACCUGGAGCAGUGCUAACCAGGUGGGCAGCCCCGAUGUCGGCCAAGCUCUACGUCCUCAUCAGCUGGCCCGACGGCAGCCGUGUCAUCAACAUCGAGAACAUCAAGGAGCCCCGCAAGCCCUUCCACCUCUACGCGGUGGGCGAGCAGGUGCUGGCCCGCUGCCCCGGCUUCAGCGGGCUCUACUGGGGCAUGGUGGAGGGCAUCAGUGGUGAGUGAGCGCCCCGUCCUUGGAGGCUACGACUUGGGGAGCAAGGUUGGUGCUGAAAAGUCCUCUCCUCUCUUCCUGCAGAGCACAAAGAUGUUCUGGAGAAGAAGCUGCAGGAAGACAGACAGCUCCUGGAGACGUUGAGUGAGUAGUGUCCUGGCUUUUGAAGCUUUUAGUACAGUGGGAUGAUGGGUUUGGUGAGAAAGGAAUUGAAGAUGGCACCUUUCUACCUUCCUUGGGGCUUUCUGGGUGCGGUGCUGUCCCGUCACAAACUUCCCAGCCCUACCAUCAGGGUGAGCAGCGGCGAGCGGGAGGUGGGAGAUGCACAGUGCUGACCCCAAAUUGCACAUCUUGAGUGUCCGCCUUGCUUUCAGAAGAUGAGCCGGACAACCACAGCAUGAUGCCACCCCAGGCAAAAAAAUCCAGGAAAACCUUCCCGAAAUGGACCCCGGGGAAUGCCCCCAGGAAGUACGGUGACCGGAGUUACCCCGGCAAGCCGCUGCUGCGGGCAGCUGGGGCCGGCCUGCCCAGUGAUGUUGGCAGCUCCUCCAUCAUCAAGGAGAGACGUGCCCUGGGGCCACCCCACCCAGCCAGCGCCUUCACCCCCCCGGCCCCUUUCGUCACCCUGGCCGUGCCGGGGAUGUCCCAGGGUGAAGAGGACAGGGCUGGCACCGCUACCAGAGAUUACGUUGCCCUGGCAAUGAAGAGGAAGUCAGAUGGCAUCUUGUCCCAAUGCCAGCAGCACGUCUGUCUGAACAGCUGUGAAGAACGAAAGCUGGAUGCUUUGCAAGAGAUGGAUGACUUUGAGAGAGUUCAGAAAAAAAUCUGUCCUGGUGAAAUGGAAAGGGAGAAGGUAGAGCAGCUGGAGAGGAUGGUCUUGGACCUGCAGCAGGACGUCCUCUCUCUGAAGAAGAAGGUGCAGCGGCUGGAAUCCCUGUCCUUCCAGGAGGAGCCCCACCGGCCGCCCUGCGAGGUGGUGGAGCUCUUCAACGGCUACACCAAGGAGCAGCUCAGAGAGGCCAUCCGUUUCGACCAGAAAAUCAGCACAGCCUGCAAGACUCUGCUCUACAAGCUCUUCACCUCCGACUACAUCCAGAGCCACUCCAUCACGGGGCGGAGGGGCAACACUUUCCGGGAGGCGAAGCCCAUGAUGGACGAACGCUGCAUCAAAAUCAUCCGGGUGCUGUUGAAACAGAAGUUUGGCGAUCACCUCAGCGACACGGUGAUCACGGAGAAGAUACAGAACGUGCAGAAAGCCCUGAGGCAGAAGUUUAAGACAGAAUGUCUCUGACACGGGGGGAUUGGUGUCUGGUCAUGAGGAGCCCUCCCAGGGAAGACGUGGCUGCAGGGCUGCCCUGAUUCCCCUGGAGGAACCCACCCAGCGGAUCUGGGCUCUCAGCACAGCACAGCCCUUUCCCAAAUGUCUGUCUGCAUUAAUCCGGAGGGAAUUUUGCCCAGCUUGGCUAGAGUUCUGCACAUCUGCGAGCACUUUACAAGCCCCUUACCCCCUGCGGUCUGCGUGCAAGCCUCAGGGUGCUGUCUGCGUGAUGGUCUCCGGGACUUUUGGGUGGACGCACUUAAAAGCUUGAGGGUAACAGAAGGGCAGACUCAUUAAAGCAAUGCCAUAAAACCUGCAGAGAAGGAUUAUUUCUCUCCCCCCCCCACCCCCCUUUUAAUGUGGUUGUAUGGAAGAAGUGUUGAAGCGUUUGCACUGACGAAAUCUGCUGAACAAGAGAAGAAGUCUCCCGUGGAAAUUACAUGACAUGAAUUUUCCUUUCAACACUAGAUGAUUUCCAUGGAGAAAUCCUGCACAUUUUCAGGUGGGGAGGAGGGGGAGAACAAAGUUUGUCCCAGUGCAGCUACACCUUUCCACCUUUCCUUCAAAGAGCAGACAUAUUAUGAAUGCAGUCAUUAUAAUUUAAAUACAGUAUUUAUAUCCUAGUUAAGAAAUUCCAGGUACAAUCAGGAUGUUGUGUUUUUUUUCUGUAUGAGAGGCUAAGGAGAAGGACUAGAAAAACAUGUUUGUUUGUCGUUUCUUUUUUUUUUUUUUCCCUUUCUAAAUAGCUUAGAGCUGGAGUUUGGGUCCAUUAAAAGUAUUUUUAACAUUGAAAGAGUAACAUGCUGGCAGCUGUCCACCUAACAUAAGUGCCACAAAAUACCAAACAUUCCCUUUUAAAUGAGGCUUCUCAGAUAAGAUUUUUUUAAGUUUAAUUUUGAAAUUAUUCAGGAAAGGAAAUGUCACUGGUUUUGAGUUAAUCAAAACAUUUGGUUUAAUUCAUAUGUUUUGCUCUGUUUUCAAGUAAUUAAUUUCUUUACAAUUACAGGAGAAAUAAUAGUGAAAAAUGGAUGUACUGAAAAACACAGAGCUACUUUGGAAAAGCAAAAAGAAAAGCGUGAUUUUCAGAGUUUUUCUCCCUGCCCCCUUUUUUUCUAAUGGAAAAACAAAACCAUUAAGUAGGGUUAACACCAUGCAGCAUGUUGAUUUUGGUGGCAGAUGUGCUUGCCAAUGUUUUUGGCGCUGUUUUCAUCAGGUGUGUUCAACACUCAUGCUGAAUUACUGGAGCCAGUAACUGAAAUAUUCCUUCUGUUUUCCCAGUGCAAAUGCCCCUCCUAACUCUCUACCAUGCAGAAGUAUCAGCACUGUUUUAGUUUGUUAUCAGGGAAGCGCCCAGGGGUUGCUUUGGAUGGUGACUUGUCACAGGGAAGGUUGUGGAGGCACAGGUGGCUUAAUUCUGCUGUGCUGGCUUUGGUGUCAGCCCCUGGGGCUUUGCAGACCUCUGCAGGGGCUUUGCAGACCUUCCCUGCAGGGUCCGUUUCCAGUUUCCCCAGCUGUGCCCUCGCAGUGGAGCACGAUGGUGGGGAUACUGCCUUGGACCACCUCUUCCUUCUCCAAGCCACUUCCCUGGGCACUUGUUUCGCCUUCAUCCAACUUCUGGCUCUUGAUCAGAUCCAUCACCAAGCUGCAGCCUCACAAAUGUCAUUUAGUGAAACAUGCUGCUGCCUUCCUCCCCCAGCGAGCCCCCUCUGAUGAGCUGCAGAUCAUUACUGCAUGAGGAGGGAGAAGCAGACUGCAGGGACGGGCUUACUGUGGCUACCGACGGCUCCUGAAACAAGUCUUUAAUCAGCUCCUCUGGAAGCAGCCGAGCCAGGUGACCUUUCUGCUUGAAAGUUCCUUCGGUGGCUCCCUGGGAGGUGAACUUCACAGCCCGAUGCCCUCACUGAUGUUCAGCCAGAGCUCCCCAAAAGCAGGGCUGGCAGCACGGGCUGGUGGCUGCUCCCUGACUCUGUGCAGCAGCCUCUGCACAAAGGAGCUGAUGCUCAAAUGGACCCUUCCAGGCAAUAAACCUUGUCCUUAGCCGCUUUCA